CUUUUCCACACGCUUAGUGCUUAUUCUUCAGCCUUUCACAAUCCAACUUUCCGUAGGCAGAUGCCUUAACUCCUGCAGACUUGAGUCUAAUCAGAGGUGUACCUGUGGAUUUUUAUGUGAUCUUAUAGCUCCUGAAAUUAGAAUUGGAAUAGGAUUAGGAUUAGGAAUUGGAAUUGGAAUUAGAAUGGGCAUUGGUAUUGGGUUGAUGAAUUUAAUUUUAUUAAUUUUUUUGACAUGGACAUAUAUAUCCACCGCUGAAGGAAGCAAAGCGAAGGCAGCUCAGCUAAACUCUCGGUGCACCGUGCCUGGAACUUGUUGAGCACUUCGAUGGAGAUUAAAAUUCAAGUGAUGGAGACCUUUCAAGAGAAGAGUAAUGGCAAUCCCGUCCAGAGGAGCUUGGAUGACGGCCAGCGGAGGGGAAAACACAAAGGGUUGAGGAGGCUGACGAAGAGGGCAGAGGAAAAACCAACUUAGAAACCAAAAAGCUGGGGUUGACUCUUCUCCCUUUUGCCAAACAAGGAAACUUCCCUUUUCUCUCCUUCUUCCGCGUCAACAAAUAGAAGUUUUCCAUUCCAACCAACAAGUUAAAGAAACAAACAUUUCUCACCGUCAUUUCAAUUUGGGGAUCAAGAUUUUGGCACUUUAUAUAUGAAGCUUUUGUCUAUGGAAAUUCCCUUUUUGCUUAAUGAAGAGUUAAGCUUCUUGACUUAUCUUCUUCCAAACUUCUCUUGGCUCUGGUGAUUGAGGAGGGAAGACCUCAGAUUUACCUUCAUGGGGUCGUGUUUUAGUUCAGGAACUAAAACCCAAACUGAUCCUCAAUUUGGUAUGUAUGCAAUUUCAUAUAUUUCUGAUGCAUUUGUAUUUUCUGCUUUUAAGAUUGCUAGUUAGCAAUUAAUAUAACAUAUUUAUGUUUACGUUCGAUUCUUUUUGUUUACUUCAUUGAAAUUUGCUCUGUUUGGAUGGUGAGAAAAGGUAGGAUAUGGAAAAAAAGAAAAAUAAAAAGCUUUCACUUUUAGCCCCCAAAUUUAGCCUAUUCUGAGAUCCAAUUUAGCUUUUAGAGCAUAAUGGGUUACCAUUUACUUUUAGCCACCAAUCACCAUCGAAGAAUUUAGCCCAUAUUCCAUCAUUUAGUCGUGUUCUUUUGGGUUCAUCAGAAUUUGAGCAGACAAAGAAUUGAGCCAAAUAAAAUUGGCAGAUCUACUGGGUUCUUCAUCUUUCUAACCCUAGAUUUUUCUAAUUACACAGCAUGAAACCCAUAUAACUGACCCCAACUAAUUUGUGAUUAAAACUUGUUGAGUUGACUUGGAGAUUUUGAUUGCAGAAAUUAAUUCUCAAUCACGUAUUUUAUAUUUGUGUAUAUUUACAUGUGUUAUGGAUAUCUAUAGAGGUGAAUUGUAAAUGCAUUGGCAAAGGUGAGAAUGAUAUGAGCAAGUGUAGUAGCAAGGUCUCAUCUUCUAUUCCCAGAACAGAAGGUGAGAUCUUGCAGUCACCCAAUUUGGAGAUCUUUGGUUUUAGUGAACUAAAAGAAGCCACAAGCAACUUCUGUCAAGAUUUUGUGCUGGGAAAAGAUGAUGUUGGUUUGGUCUUCAAAGGGUGGAUUGAUAAGGAUUCACUAAGGCCUGCGAGGCCUGAGACUGGGAUGCCCAUUGCUGUAAAGAGGCUUAACCAAAAGGGCAUCCGAGGUCAACAAGAAUUGUUGGCAGAAAUAAAAUACAUGGGACAGCUACAUCACCCAAAUCUUG
rnacentral:misc_RNA from 1 species